rnacentral:rRNA from 1 species
GCAAGUCGAGCGGAAACGACAACAUUGAAUCUUCGGAGGAUUUGUUGGGCGUCGAACGGCGGACGGGUGAGUAAUGCCUAGGAAAUUGCCAUGAUGUGGGGCAUAACCAUUUGAAACGAUGGCUAAUACCGCAUAAUGCCUACGGGCCAAAGAGGGGGACCUUCGGGCCUCUCGCGUCAAGAUAUGCCUAGGUGGGAUUAGCUAGUUGGUGGGGUAAUGGCUCACCAAGGCGACGAUCCGUAGCUGGUCUGAGAGGAUGAUC